CUCUUAUCAAGAGUAGGUGGAGGGACAAGCCCAAUGAAACCCGGCAACCGGUUUAGCUGUAUGGUAGAAAACACGGUGCUAAUUCUUGCAGUCAUGACAGGCUGAAAGAUGAGAG
rnacentral:ncRNA from 1 species